AUCAGGCAUGAGGUGGCUGCUACGGAACACUCAGCUGUCAAACGCUGCACUGCUAUUUGUCUUGCAAAUUGCUUAGAGUUUGACACCCCUUCCAAACUGAAAAGGAUAGUCUCCAAGCAGCAUGUAAAACACAUGCCAACAUCGUGCUCAACUCUGACAUAAUUUCUUGGGUCAAACACUAAUGCCAAUACGAUAUGGCCUGAGUGCUGUCUUACUCAGUAGCUCAUGUAGCAUUUAACACAAAGAUCAGGUUCUUGUUGAGACGAAUGUCUUGAAGUUUAUGAUAUCUGAAUAUUUACAUUGCUAUCAUUUGACAGACUUCUCUGCUUGCUGAUAUUACUGACGCUGUUACAUUCCGAGGGACUGAAGGCGAAGCAGAGAAGCUGGGAUGAAGACCCCCAUUAGAGACCUGAAGAUGUGUAGACAAUUGUCUUUCUGUGUUAUCGUAAAUGGAGCUGCACCAUAUGCAGCCCUGAAGGACGAAUCAUUCAAAGAUUAUUUGGAACAUAAACGAACACUGACAACCGCCAAUGACACUAAAAAAGAGCAAUUCAGUGCUGAACUUCAAGUGUCCUGAAGAAACAGUUUUGUGGAAGACUGUAAGAUUCUACACAGUGUAGUUUAUUCCCAGCUGACACAAAAUGAACA